UGCUUCCGACAGGCUAUGUGUGUGUGUGUGUGCGCGUGCUCGUGCUUUUCUGUUCUUUGACGUUGUUGUAUCUGGUUUGAUGGUGUCAACUCAGUGAGUGAAUCUUCUCCACUUCAGAACCUCUUUCAUGGGUUUCGUAGGAAUGUGGAAGACGUAUCAACAACUUUCCACGUGUCCUCUAACUUGAAGAAAAUUCUGGGGUUACAAGUAAUUAGGCUACUCCAACUUCCUUCCAAAACCAUCGCGUGUAGUCGCUGUACCUCAUUCGAAAAUAAAUAAUAUAAGGACUUGCCAUAGUGUCACUAAAAGCAUGGAGAAACCGAUCCAAAA